CAUUACCUUUCUUUUGAUUGGAAUGAAAACUGACCUUUUCCAGUCCUGUGGCUGCUGCUAAGUUUUCCAAAUUUGCUGGCACGUUGACUUCAGGACUUUAACAGCGUCAUCUUUCAGGAUGUGAAUUAGCUCAGCUGGAAUUCCAUCACCUCAACUAGCUUUGUUCAUAGUGAUGGUUUCUAAGGCCCACUUGACUUCGCACUCCAGGAUGUCUGGCUCUACGAGGAGAUGAGCGCAUGUCUUUCGACUCCACGAUCUUGAACCAAUCUCUUGAGACAAGUUCUGGCCCAACUCAAGCCUCUCUUUGGACCACAGUUGAACAAUGAAACUAUCUGGUACCACAAGCAUCAUUGGCCUUCAGGAACAAGAUUUUCUCGCCAGUGCCCAGUGAUUGAGGUGAUAAAGAAAAUUCCUCUAGGUGCAAAAUUGUCUCCAUAGCCAGACCACCUUCUUUGACUCACCUUUUUGGCUACCAG
ensembl:lncRNA